AGACCCGAAACCCGGUGAUCUAGCCAUGGGCAGGUUGAAGGUUGGGUAACACUAACUGGAGGACCGAACCGACUAAUGUUGAAAAAUUAGCGGAUGACCUGUGGCUGGGGGUGAAAGGCCAAUCAAACCGGGAGAUAGCUGGUUCUCCCCGAAAGCUAUUUAGGUAGCGCCUCGUGAAUUCAUCUCCGGGGGUAGAGCACUGUUUCGGCUAGGGGGCCAUCCCGGCUUACCAACCCGAUGCAAACUGCGAAUACCGGAGAAUGUUAUCACGGGAGACACACGGCGGGUGCUAACGUCCGUCGUGAAGAGGGAAACAACCCAGACCGCCAGCUAAGGUCCCAAAGUCAUGGUUAAGUGGGAAACGAUGUGGGAAGGCCCAGACAGCCAGGAUGUUGGCUUAGAAGCAGCCAUCAUUUAAAGAAAGCGUAAUAGCUCACUGGUCGAGUCGGCCUGCGCGGAAGAUGUAACGGGGCUAAACCAUGCACCGAAGCUGCGGCAGCGAACGUAUCACCCAAGACAACUUUACGGAGUUGACGAUUGACGGAGCGAAGCGACGUCAAAGCGUUCAUUAAAGUCGAGUUGGCUUAGGGAUACGUUCGUUGGGUAGGGGAGCGUUCUGUAAGCCUGUGAAGGUGUGUCGUGAGGCAUGCUGGAGGUAUCAGAAGUGCGAAUGCUGACAUAAGUAACGAUAAAGCGGGUGAAAAGCCCGCUCGCCGGAAGACCAAGGGUUCCUGUCCAACGUUAAUCGGGGCAGGGUGAGUCGACCCCUAAGGCGAGGCCGAAAGGCGUAGUCGAUGGGAAACGGGUUAAUAUUCCCGUACUUGGUGUUACUGCGAAGGGGGGACGGAGAAGGCUAUGUUGGCCGGGCGACGGUUGUCCCGGUUUAAGCGUGUAGGUGUGUGUUCCAGGUAAAUCCGGUUCACUUUAACACUGAGGCGUGACGACGAGGCACUACGGUGCUGAAGCAACAAAUGCCCUGCUUCCAGGAAAAGCCUCUAAGCAUCAGGUAACAUCAAAUCGUACCCCAAACCGACACAGGUGGUCAGGUAGAGAAUACCAAGGCGCUUGAGAGAACUCGGGUGAAGGAACUAGGCAAAAUGGUGCCGUAACUUCGGGAGAAGGCACGCUGACAUGUAGGUGAAGUGAUUUACUCAUGGAGCUGAAGUCAGUCGAAGAUACCAGCUGGCUGCAACUGUUUAUUAAAAACACAGCACUGUGCAAACACGAAAGUGGACGUAUACGGUGUGACGCCUGCCCGGUGCCGGAAGGUUAAUUGAUGGGGUCAGCGCAAGCGAAGCUCCUGAUCGAAGCCCCGGUAAACGGCGGCCGUAACUAUAACGGUCCUAAGGUAGCGAAAUUCCUUGUCGGGUAAGUUCCGACCUGCACGAAUGGCGUAAUGAUGGCCAGGCUGUCUCCACCCGAGACUCAGUGAAAUUGAACUCGCUGUGAAGAUGCAGUGUACCCGCGGCAAGACGGAAAGACCCCGUGAACCUUUACUAUAGCUUGACACUGAACAUUGAGCCUUGAUGUGUAGGAUAGGUGGGAGGCUUUGAAGUGUGGACGCCAGUCUGCAUGGAGCCGACCUUGAAAUACCACCCUUUAAUGUUUGAUGUUCUAACGUGGACCCGUUACCCGGGUUGCGGACAGUGUCUGGUGGGUAGUUUGACUGGGGCGGUCUCCUCCUAAAGAGUAACGGAGGAGCACGAAGGUUGGCUAAUCCUGGUCGGACAUCAGGAGGUUAGUGCAAUGGCAUAAGCCAGCUUGACUGCGAGCGUGACGGCGCGAGCAGGUGCGAAAGCAGGUCAUAGUGAUCCGGUGGUUCUGAAUGGAAGGGCCAUCGCUCAACGGAUAAAAGGUACUCCGGGGAUAACAGGCUGAUACCGCCCAAGAGUUCAUAUCGACGGCGGUGUUUGGCACCUCGAUGUCGGCUCAUCACAUCCUGGGGCUGAAGUAGGUCCCAAGGGUAUGGCUGUUCGCCAUUUAAAGUGGUACGCGAGCUGGGUUUAGAACGUCGUGAGACAGUUCGGUCCCUAUCUGCCGUGGGCGCUGGAGAACUGAGGGGGGCUGCUCCUAGUACGAGAGGACCGGAGUGGACGCAUCACUGGUGUUCGGGUUGUCAUGCCAAUGGCACUACCCGGUAGCUAAAUGCGGAAGAGAUAAGUGCUGAAAGCAUCUAAGCACGAAACUUGCCCCGAGAUGAGUUCUCCCUGAGACUUUAGGUCUCCUGAAGGAACGUUGAAGACGACGACGUUGAUAGGCCGGGUGUGUAAGCGCAGCGAUGC
rnacentral:rRNA from 1 species